GAACCGAAAAGCAAAGCUGACUACAUCUGUCUUAUUACUGUUAUUCCAGUGGAAAAGAUUUUUUUAUCCUAAUGUUAAGAAGCAAAGAUCUCAUGAGAACACCACACAUAUACAAUUUUUAGUCUCAAAUACAUUAUUCAAAAGAAGCUAUAAAGAUAAUAACAUGAAGACAAGACAAGAGGAAUAAUAUUUAAUUAUCAAAAUGUCUUCAGGAUGUAAGAUUUACUUUGAAAAGAAGAGAAAACAUGAUGUCAGGGAUUCGUUCCUAUUGAAACAGAGACUUUGUUUUGGCUGAGGAGCUCUGGGAAUCUGAAGAAGUUUGGAGUCUACACAUGGAUCAUCAACAAUACAGCCACACCUUUAGUGAGGGACAGAAAGGGAGACACACGAGAAGAUGGAACUGGCAUGUACACAUCAUGAGAGAAGUCCUGAGGAAACUCUCCCAGUCCCGGACGAGGCAGCGGGGAGACCAGCUCCCUCUUCCUGUGUGGCUGUGGCUUCCGAGCGGCACCUGCCCGUCAUAAAGCACCUGUAUCCUGUAGCUCACUCCAUCUCGCUCGCCAUUUGAGAGGCCACCCCAUCGUUGGUGUAAUUCAGACGAGCAUGCUUCAUCUGACGGUCUGUGCGCGGCACCAUUGUUCCUGGAGUCUGUCACGCACAAUCACUGGCUUCAGUCGGUGGCCCUCUAAGUGAAAGGAGCAGGAACUAUAGAUGACAGAGCUGAAGAUGGUCCUGGAGGCAGGGAGCUCAAUCAAAAGGCCGGACUGACCCAGAAGAGCUGAGAAGAUGACCUAAAGAAACUAUGGGGGUGGUGGGCAAAGGGAAGAGAGGGGAGGCAGGCGGAACAGCAGAAUCAGGAAGGUCCGAAGGGAAAGAGUAUCUAGGAUGCAUCCCAUGCUUCUGGUCUGGGGAAAGAGAUGUUGUUUGGAAUGUCAGGCAGGCUUGCAGCUUAAGAUGAAGGAAAAGCUGGGUAUGGGCUCAAGAGAACGGUCAGAGGCGCAUGUGAGCAGAGCUUCAUUCCUGGAGGCGGCUGCUAGCCCCGAGAGCACACAUAUACAGACUACGUGCCACAAGAGAGAAGCUACUGGCCAGACAGAGAAGGGCAUUCAUGAAACAGGCAGUAGGGAGGAAAAACGGGACACCACGAUGCCACAGAAACCAUGCUGGAUAUUUAUAAGAAAUAAAAAAGAACAGGCAGACACCAGAAGAGGUGCAGAUGAGGCUGCAACCAUGGAAUCACAGGGUUAACAGCAUCCAGGAUGAAAAUGCUCCCCCUUGAGUAUGACCUCCUCUUUCCUACCUGCCCUCUGCUGCCCAGACUGGUGGUGUUUUUCAGGCAGAUUUGGAUGCAACAGAGAGAUGAUACUGUCAAGAUUUAAAGGGGAUCAGUUUUGUGCUCUAGGUGGUGAGAUUAGAUGAUCCCUGUGUCUGAGGAUGCAGACAGGGACAUGAGCACACAUAAACACAGGUUACUUUGUAAAUAUAUGUGGUAAAAGUGGAAAGCUGAAGGAGCUGUCUAUGCAAGGGUUUAUGGAGGUGGUAUAAAUAUGGGCUGGUGCUAUGAACAGUGACAGACACUCAGUUUGUAAAGCUUGAAGCUUACAAACUUUAAAAAUAUCUAACUCUACAAACACCAUAAAAAUGCAGAAAUAAUGUUUUGAUCAGUAAGGUGGCACCAGCUCUAGGAAACACCUUAUGUCGCCUUUUGGGGGUCUACAUACUAUUUACCUUCUCUCCAACAAGUUUUGAAGUAUUUUUAGAGUGGACAGGAAGAUAGCAUGAUCAGAAGUAUUGAUAAGUGGGAUACAGAAACAUGCCACUUCACAUGUGUAUUUGUAUUUGUGCUGCAGGUUUGGGUGUGUGUGUGUGUGUGUGUGUGUGUGUG